AAAAACAUUUGGGAGGAAAGAAACCCUGGAGUUUUGAGCCUGGGUGUCAAGCAGGGGGAAGGGGGGAGGCCACCAAUAUGGUACCUGCUUUCGACGGAGCUCAUCAUUUUAGUGCGAAUAUUUGACCUCGCUUUGAUUCAGAAUUUCGAAAUUUGUUUGCCUUCGUUUCCUGGGCAAGGCAAAACCCUCCUCAUUCUUCAAUUUCCAUGAACACUACGGAAAAUCAAGAUUUGGAGCUUUCAUCUGGUUAUCAGCAAGAGCUAUUAACAAUGAGUGAUUCAGGUUCCUCCACAUUAAGUUAUGAGUCCCCAUCAAGCGAUGAGGAGCCAGAUGGGCGUGCUCUGGUGGGUGAUGGGAUUGGUUUUCCAGAGUCGAUCAAUUAUUUUGCACCGAGGACCUUACAGGCAGAUCAGGACCCCGCAGCUUUAAUUCCAGUCUAUCUCAUAAGGAGGCAUGUCGGUGACUUAAUUGGCAAUGUAGAUCGCCUUUUGCUGCGGGAUUACCAUAAUCUCAAGUAUGAGCUGAAGGUGAUUGCUUUUCAUAGGGGCAUCACUGGCCGGUUCUACAUUCGAUUCAAAAUAUGGUCAGACUUCUAGAUGGAACUCGGGUUUGCCUCCACAGAUUUAUUCGCCAACCACUAGAGGAAAUGACCGUUGAGGGAAUCUAUUUGGCAGAGGGCAGUGACAUAGUUGAACCUAGCCUAGAUCAACACGAGCAAGUGUUGGACGAUGAUUUAGAUCCAGAGGAUGAUGAUUAUCCAGAGAAUGAUUAUCCAAAUCCAGAUCCAGAUGACGGAUGGUUUGAAGAUGAUGGAAGACGCGACCAUGAACUCUUGAGCUUUUAUCAAGAUGAGAUGGGAGUUGUGCUAUUGAUACCGGGACUGAAUAAUCCAAUUCAAAGACAAUUGGGUUGGGUCUUUAGGCGCACUUCCACUGCCCUUGAAAGUCUCAAUUCACAAAUCUGUUUUUGUGCGGCUCGAGCAAGGUUGCCAAGUGAGUACAGAAAGAUAUUCAAAGAUGGUGAUGGAGAUGGAGAUGAUUGUUUUGUGCCCGAAGAAGGUAAUGACGAGGAGUGGCAUGCAUUUGUAGAGAUGUUAAGUGAGAUUGAGCUCCACGCUACCAGGAUUGACGGAGAUUGAAAUUCAAGUUAGAGAAGUUCGGUUCGGAUGUACAAAUUAGUUGGGCCAUAGUUUUUUUGUUGUUGUCUCUGCUGGUAAAUUCAAAGAGGGACAAGUCUGGAGGGGAGUGUGCUGCUGAGGAAGGUAUCCCCAUUGAUGAGUCCAAUCCAAGUACAAAACCAAUAGCCGCUAAUAUGAUCAUUGAUCAUUGACUUCCAAGCUCAAAUGUCUGUGACUUUGUGGGAUUUUUUGGCUUCUAGUGUUUUUGCUUUAACUCGAGUUGUAGCUACUGUCUUUGUAUUUCCUAGUUGGUUGUAGUUUUCGUACUUCUUGUCCAAGUAUGUUGUUGGAUAAAAUAUCAUACCUUCAUGGCCGAAUAA